AUGGCCGCGCUAUGGCGCAGUGCCCAUGACAAGGUGCCCUGCAUGCCCACGUAUCGCACCCCUGAAGCGGCUAGUCACAACGACCGACAAGAAUGGCAACCUUGGGAGGGAAUUCGUGAAAUGCGAGAGCAAACCAGAGCAGGGAAAGAUGAGAUUUUACUUCUCAAUAUGCCAAUUUUGGUUUUUGUCUCCCAAUUUUAUAUUUGUCCAAUUUUUCAUCGGAUUUGGGAUUUAGGGUUCAUCUUUCCAAUUUCAGAAAUUGAAUCAAUGAUUCAUUUUGAGUGGCUAGAUGAGUACAUAGAGCGGAUUCAACUAGAGGGUACAUCAGGGGAGCUCGAUUUACCAUUGAAGGCGGAGAAGUUGGGCAAGUUUGGAUUGGGCGCGUCUGGAUCUGGGCCCCCUGGAUCUGCCCAUUCCAUUGGGGCUACUGUGGGGGAUGCAGGAGUGACGGCAGAGCUGAAGAAGCUGAACAAGCAGAUGAAGAAACUCAUCGAAUUGCAGAAGCAGGGCAAUUUGAUGGGGCUGAUGGCCGGACUUUUUUAUGUUUGCGUAAUUGCUCUCGCAUUUGUUUAUGUGAUGAUAAUUAGUCAUAAGUGA
rnacentral:rRNA from 1 species